rnacentral:rRNA from 1 species
CCUACGGGAGGCAGCAGUGGGGAAUAUUGCACAAUGGGGGAAACCCUGAUGCAGCGACGCCGCGUGAGCGAAGAAGUAAUUCGUUACGUAAAGCUCUAUCAGCAGGGAAGAAAAUGACGGUAACUGAGUAAGAAGCCCCGGCUAACUACGUGCCAGCAGCCGCGGUAAUACGUAGGGGGCAAGCGUUAUCCGGAUUUACUGGGUGUAAAGGGAGCGUAGACGGUGCGGCAAGUCUGGAGUGAAAUGCCGCGGCUUAACUGCGGAACUGCUUUAGAAACUGGCGAACUAGAGUGCGGGAGGGGUAAGCGGAAUUCCUAGUGUAGCGGUGGAAUGCGUAGAUAUUAGGAGGAACACCAGUGGCGAAGGCGGCUUACUGGACCGUAACUGACGUUGAGGCUCGAAAGCGUGGGGAGCAAACAGGAUUAGAUACCCGAGUAGUC